CCUGCAGGGUAAGUGCGCACGUUCUCAGUGAAGAGGUGUUUUGAAACUCCUUCCAGAGAAGUCUGGCGUUCACUCUAAAUUGACCUGGAGGCUGAGGAACCCUGGAAUGGCUCCAGCUGGUUCUUACUCUGCCAGAGAUCAGUGUCCGCCCAUGGCCUACCCCCUCUUGGGAAGGGACUCGGACAAAUUUGCCGCCAUGACGGUUGACACUUCCCAUCUAGGAUGGAGGAAUGGGGUUCCGAAAUUUGUUCCACCACUUUUGAAAGGACUGCAGCUGUGAGGGUGAGACGUCGUCCACUGUGCUGAUGAAGCCAGCCUCUCCCGGAUGGCAGGGAGAAUGUGCCUGUGUCCCUGACCCCCGGGAGCCAGCACGCAAGCCCUGGACUCUGUGACCCAGACUCUUCGAUGGGACAUUUCAUACUCAGGAAUUGGGGCUUCUGAGCUGGCUUCUGUUGAUGACAGCGUGUGGACAAGCAUCAGCUUUCUGCAACUGGUGUUCCUCUUUGAGCGACGAUGUGGUA